rnacentral:tRNA from 1 species
GCCGAAGUGGCGGAAUGGCAGACGCAAUCGACUCAAAAUCGAUCGGGGUAACCCAUGAGAGUUCGAGUCUCUCCUUCGGCACAA